rnacentral:rRNA from 1 species
UACGUAGGGAGCAAGCGUUGUCCGGAAUCAUUGGGCGUAAAGCGCGCGUAGGCGGCCCCGUAAGUCCGCUGUGAAAGUCAAAGGCUCAACCUUUGAAAGCCGGUGGAUACUGCAGGGCUAGAGUCCGGAAGAGGCGAGUGGAAUUCCUGGUGUAGCGGUGGAAUGCGCAGAUAUCAGGAGGAACACCAAUAGCGAAGGCAGCUCGCUGGGACGGUACUGACGCUAAGGCGCGAAAGCGUGGGGAGCGAACAGG